rnacentral:tRNA from 1 species
ACCUGACUGGCUCAAUCUGUGGAGUGUGGGACUCUUGAUCUCGGGGUUGUGAGUUCGAGCCCCAUGUUGAGUG